rnacentral:miRNA from 1 species
CGGGGCAGCUCAGUACAGGA